UACGGAGGGGGCGAGCGUUGUCCGAAGUUACUGGGCGUAAAGCGUGCGCAGGCGGUUCGUUGUGUCGGCGGUGAAAGCCCCGGGCUUAACCUGGGAAUGGCCGUUGAAACUGGCGAACUGGAGUGUGGCAGAGGGGGGUGGAAUUCCGCGUGUAGCAGUGAAAUGCGUAGAGAUGCGGAGGAACACCGAUGGCGAAGGCAGCCCCCCUGGGCUAACACUGACGCUCAGGCACGAAAGCGUGGGGAGCAAACAGG
rnacentral:rRNA from 1 species